rnacentral:lncRNA from 1 species
GAAAUCUGCUUUGAGAGCAGAAAAAAUAAUAAUAAAAGGAGAUAUGUGUAUGAUACAUGGAAUGCAAUGUUGAAAUGGUCUGAAUUCUGGCUGAAGAGACCCAAACUUUCUUCAUAGACAUUCCAGAGCACUAAUUCAAAUACUGCCUUAAAGGUCCUAAAUCUAGAAACCUAAGAUUUUAUACACAAUGAGUUCCUCUUAUCAGUUGCCUCUCAUUUACCUGGGCACAGAACUGCUGUUAACCAACCUCUUCACGAACUGUUGCUCCAAGAAGGAAAUCACAUCUGGUUUGGACAUAAAUUAAUAGGGUAAUUAAUAAUAAACCUUUCACAUAGGCAAAGAAAUGGAAUUUUGGUCUGAUGUGGCUAUGGAGAAUUGAGACCAUUCCUUAAUCAUCAAGCAGAAAGAAGUCGAGAAAGUAUUCUGAAGGAUUAGGAUGAUAACACUUUAGAAAUAACACAGGAGAGACGCCCUUGCUAUGUUUCCUAGGCUGUUCUUGAACUCCUAGGCAGUUGGUUUGUCUGGGUAUCCAUUGAUGCACACUUGGGUUGUUUCCAAUUCUGAGGUGGUUAUGAAUAAAACUGCUAUGAACAUUCACAUUCGGGUCUUUUUGUAGAUACAUGUCUUUGUUUGUCAUGGAUAGAUACUCAGGAGUGGUAUUGAUGGGUCGUUUAAACAAUUACUUUAAAAUGGUAUCUUUACAUGGAAUAGUUUUGCCUCUUGAUUGUGGUGGUGGUGACACAAAUCUAAAUGUGUGAUAAAAUGGUAAAAACACGCACAUAAUGAAUGCAUGGAAAACUACUGAUAUCUGAAAGAAGUUGGU